rnacentral:rRNA from 1 species
CCUACGGGAGGCAGCAGUGGGGAAUAUUGGGCAAUGGAGGCAACUCUUACCCAGCAAUGCCGCGUGAAUGAAGAAGGUCUUCGGAUUGUAAAGUUCUUUAAUUGGGGACGAAAAAAAUGACGGUACCCAAGGAAUAAGCCCCGGCUAACUACGUGCCAGCAGCCGCGGUAAUACGUAGGGGGCAAGCGUUGUUCGGAAUGACUGGGCGUAAAGGGUGUGUAGGCGGUGUAGCAAGUUAGAAGUGAAAUACCUAGAGCUUAACUCAGGUGCUGCUUCUAAAACUGCUAUACUUGAGUGCAGUAGAGGAAAGUGGAAUUCCUAGUGUAGCGGUGGAAUGCGUAGAUAUUAGGAGGAACAUCAGUGGCGAAGGCGACUUUCUGGACUGUAACUGACGCUGAGGCACGAAAGUGUGGGGAGCAAACAGGAUUAGAUACCCCAGUAGUC